GCAUCGAUGAAGAACGCAGCGAAAUGCGAUAAGUAAUGUGAAUUGCAGAAUUCAGUGAAUCAUCGAAUCUUUGAACGCACCUUGCGCCCCUUGGUAUUCCGAGGGGCAUGCCCGUUUGAGUGUCAUGUUCAUCUCAACCCUCAAGUCUUUGUUGACUUUGGGGCGUUGGACUUGAAGGUUGCUGGCUCCCCUCUUGUAGUCGGCUCCUUCUAAAUGCAUUAGCUGGGCUUUGACUCGCGUUUGUUACGGUGUAAUAGUAACUUGUUCACCGGGACGCUUGUCUAGUAGGUCCGCUUCUAAUCGUCUUCGGACAAGACGUUUGCGCGUCUUCACUUGACCUUUUGACCUCAAAUCGGGUAGGACUACCCGCUGAACUUAAGCAUAUCAAUAAGCGGAGGAGAGCACCACGCCUGCCUUGCCUCUCCGGUGAGAUAUGUUACUACCACACCGAGAACCAGGACACCCGAGGGCUACCGGCUUCGGAAUUGCUGCACUUCAAGGGACCACGUGCUCGUGGCGGGCAGGCCGACACACGGACACAACUGUGGACGCCUCAUGGCCCAGCUGCACACGCAAGGUACAGCUGGAUGUGAGAAACGACGCUCAGACAGACGUGCUCCUGGGAUUGCCCAAGAGCGCCAUUUGCGUUCAAAGAUUCGAUGAUUCACUAAAUUCUGCAAUUCACAUUACUUAUCGCAUUUCGCUGCGUUCUUCAUCGAUGC
rnacentral:rRNA from 1 species